GUUGUGGCUCAGUGGUAGAAUGCUUGCCUAGCAUACAUGAGGCACUGGGUUCAAUCCCCAGCAUCACA
rnacentral:tRNA from 1 species